rnacentral:misc_RNA from 1 species
GAAAUGCGAUAAUUAAUGUGAAUUGCAGAAUUCAGUGAAUCAUCGAGUCUUUGAACGCACAUUGCGCCCCUGGUAUUCCGGGGGGGCAUGCCUGUCCGAGCGUCAUUGCUGCCCUCAAGCACGGCUUGUGUGUUGGGCUUCCGUCCCUGGCAACGGGGACGGGCCCAAAAGGCAGUGGCGGCACCAUGUCUGGUCCUCGAGCGUAUGGGGCUUUGUCACCCGCUCCCGUAGGUCCAGCUGGCAGCUAGCCUCGCAACCAAUCUUUUUAACCAGGUUGACCUCGGAUCAGGUAGGGAUACCCGCUGAACUUAAGC